rnacentral:misc_RNA from 1 species
GGGUGGUGUCAAAUAUUACCGCAUCUCCAAAAGCCUCAUAUGAUUCAAUAGAUGAAGCAUAAGACCAAGCAAUGCGCUCCAACUGGUUGUUUGGAUCAAUUUGGAAGUUGUACUUAAAGUUGGGAUCUUUGUCUUUCCUGUAUUUGCACAUCUCAAGAAGGUUGAUAGCAUCACUGUCACGAUUCACAUUCCUAAAUGACUGCAGCAAGU